UACGUAGGGUGCGAGCGUUGUCCGGAAUUAUUGGGCGUAAAGGGCUCGUAGGCGGUUUGUCACGUCGGGAGUGAAAACUCGGGGCUUAACCCCGAGCCUGCUUCCGAUACGGGCAGACUAGAGGUAUGCAGGGGAGAACGGAAUUCCUGGUGUAGCGGUGAAAUGCGCAGAUAUCCGGAGGAACACCGGUGGCGAAGGCGGUUCUCUGGGCAUUACCUGACGCUGAGGAGCGAAAGUGUGGGGAGCGAACAGG
rnacentral:rRNA from 1 species